AACGCAGGCAGCGCCCGCUUCGCCGCUCCGCGCAGUCUCCUGAGAACAUUUUUUCUGAGUGACUCCGGCUUCCAGACACAUUUGCCAUGAGAAGGGUUCCAAUCCUUUCCUGUAUUUGCCCUGAGUCAUGAAUGGAUAUGUGUGAUGCCUGCAAGUAAAACUGGGCUUUGGUGGUGAAACUGGAGUUCAGUCAUGCAGGCAAAGCUACUGCCCAAAACUGAAGCCUUGCAGACAGACAGGAUCUAAACCAAGCUUACGUGGGCAACUCGUGCCGUGAUGAAAUGUGGAUAUGGAGAGGUGUCUUUGCCAUCAUGUGUCACAUGGUAGAUUCUCAAAGGAGCCAUUGCCAACAGAUAAUUAGCUCCAGCAUUUGCUGCACGUGCAUCCCAGUGACAAAAUGGUGUCACUGGUACAUAGGAGAGCUGUCCUGUGGCGUGUGCUUCACCUUGGUGCUGCUGCCCAGCCUGGGGGACACGGGGACAAAGCCUUCAAUAGCCUGUUUGGAUCAAGCUCAAGAGGAUGCUGGAGUGAGACCCCUUCUCUGUUAAGGGCCAGUUGCCUUUCCUGGUGGGGUUACCCCCCGAGAAGCCCCCGUGUCCCUAUUGUGCCACGCAAGGGGUGGUCGUGCCUUUUCCAGCUGUCCCCAUCCCCCAGGAACCUGGCAUGGGGAGCUUUCCAUGCCCACUCCUCUGACCUGCCUCCUCCUGAUUGCCUCUCUUCAUAACUGGGGGGAGAGGAGGGGCAAUAUUAGUUUGGGAAAACAAGAAUCAUCUCAUUCUGCAGCAAAACUGUGAAGUCUGUGUAAGAAAUCUUUCAAACGCAGGAAAUCUGCAUAAUUAAAUUGUGUAGGAAUUGGGAGCACAAAUUGUUUUUUUAAA